rnacentral:miRNA from 1 species
AUAUACAAGGGCAAGCUCUCUGU